rnacentral:lncRNA from 1 species
UGGGGCCCCGGGCCACACCAUCAGGAAGUGAAGUGUCAUGGCUGAGCCAGGCAGCUCCACCAGCUCUCUGGGUGCCUCUCCCUCUUCCGUAAGGCGGACAGGCCAGACCUGUGAAGCCGUCGUGAACUUGGAGGGAAAGUCCGUGUCAGAUCUGCUCCUUUCCCCAGAGGGCCGGCAAGACCCCGCACACUCUGGCCCUGCUCUCCCUGACAUAACGGUCCCCAGACCGGGCGGGAGGAGCAAGCCCAGACCCCAAGAUCCCGCAGCUGCGCACCUUGGGCUUAGCCUCCUCACCCGUUUCUGCAGGCGCCCUGGCUUCCCCAGAGGUGUUACUAGUUUGAACAAACCUCCCUCUUCAGAUGCUUUGUCUUAUGCUGCUCUGAAGCUUUUGCUGCUGGACACUGGCCUGAGUGCAGCCUCCUGGAGAUGGUUCCCUUGUGAAAAGAUGUUAUCUUGGGACCAGAGGAUUCUAAUGUGUCAGUUCUUCAAGCAUCUUGUACAUCAGACAGUCAGCCCUUCUCCUGUCAUGUUUCCCAUUGGAGACGAAGAGAUGUACCCCUGAUCCCCGCGUGAUGACUUCUCUUCCGAAAGGCUGCCUCUACCCCUUUGCUUGGGUUUUCUGAGAACUGCGAGAGUAUCUUUUGUGUGUGUGUGUUUGUAUUUUUUUAAGUAUAGUUGAUCGACGAUGUGGUGCCAGUGUCUGCUGUACAGCAAGCUGACCCAGUCAUACGUAUACACACAUUCUUUCUCUCGUGUCACCCCCAUCACCGUCUGUCCCGAGAGACUGGGUACAGUUCCCUGUGCUUAUGGCAGGACUUCAUUCCCCAUCCAUUCUAAAUGUAACAGUUUGCAUCUACUAACCUCAAACUCCCAGUCCAUCCCACUAUGUGUGAGCACCUUGAAUGCCACUAGAAUUCACAUCUUCUUACACAAGCUGACACCCGAGUCCCUGUGAGAACUCCACCGAUCAUCCCUCAAGCUCCAAAGGGGCUUCAAGAUGCCCCUGAAUGUCAGGGAAGGGACCCCAGGGCCCAGCACAGAGAUGUGGGCAGCAGGUAGUCUUCUGAUGGGCUGAAGCUUGGUGCUCAGCGUGCCAUCUCUUGGGCCACCCUGACUCCCAUGCAUUGCACUCAUUCCCAUAGAUGGGCAAAGGCUGAGGCCAGUCAGGGCUGAGGAAGGUCAAGCAGCACUUUGGGAAGAUGGGCCCUGCUGGGCCAACCUGUGGCGAAGGGGUGUGGAGGGUUCGCUUCUUAACCGGCAAGAUCCUCUCUGUAACUAACAAAAUGCAACAAUGUAUUAAAAACAAUACAGCAUGACCAAAGGAGCUUUGAAACACAAAUGCAGGGAUGGUUCAAUAGAUUAAAGAAAUUUCAAAACCUAGGAGUUCCUGUUGUGGUUCAGAGGUAAUGAAACCUCCUCGUAUCCGUGAGCACAUGGAUUCAAACCCUGGCCUCG